rnacentral:rRNA from 1 species
CCCUUAGAGUUUGAUCCUGGCUCAGAUUGAACGCUGGCGGCAGGCCUAACACAUGCAAGUCGAACGGUAACAGGAAGCAGCUUGCUGCUUCGCUGACGAGUGGCGGACGGGUGAGUAAUGUCUGGGAAACUGCCUGAUGGAGGGGGAUAACUACUGGAAACGGUAGCUAAUACCGCAUAAUGUCGCAAGACCAAAGAGGGGGACCUUCGGGCCUCUUGCCAUCGGAUGUGCCCAGAUGGGAUUAGCUAGUAGGUGGGGUAACGGCUCACCUAGGCGACGAUCCCUAGCUGGUCUGAGAGGAUGACCAGCCACACUGGAACUGAGACACGGUCCAGACUCCUACGGGAGGCAGCAGUGGGGAAUAUUGCACAAUGGGCGCAAGCCUGAUGCAGCCAUGCCGCGUGUAUGAAGAAGGCCUUCGGGUUGUAAAGUACUUUCAGCGGGGAGGAAGGCGGUGAGGUUAAUAACCUCAUCGAUUGACGUACCCGCAGAAGAAGCCCGCACUCG